CCUCACUCCGCUUCUCUUCUUCCUUCUCCCCUCCUCUCCCUUUUUCCCCUCCUCCCCUUUUCUCCCUCCUCCCCUUCUUUCUUCUUCCUCCCAGGAGGGGACCUUGAGGGUCACCUUUCAUGCAAAUGGGUGACAGUCUGGCUUCCUGGGGUCCCCGUGGCUCUCACUUGGUUUCACUUUGAGAGCCGAAGUUGUGCAGGUGGCUGGCAGAGGCUGAAGGGAGAGGGACCCCAGAUCCCACCUGCCCAGGGGCGUCAGAAACGACGGGGAGAGGCUGCCCUCAGAGCAGAGGGGCACAGAGGACCCCAGCCCCCAGGAAAGACUUGACCCGACAUGAGACAGACGGCACAAGCACAGAAAGCAAAGGCGACUUCAGAAAUUCUACUAGGAGACUUGGGAUGACUUGAUCUAGAAGAGUAAUGUAGGGCCAGGUGGUGGUGCACCUGGUUGAGCGCACACUGCAGCACACAAGGACCUGAGAUUCUGUCUUCUGCACCCCAUAAAGAAGUUUGGUUCAGUGAUCCGGGAGGCUGUGCAGUGGAUAAAGCACUGGACUCUCAAGCAUGAGGUCCCGAGUUCAAUCCCCGGCAGCCCAUGCACCUGAAUGAUGUCUGGUCCUUUCUUUCUCGUGAAUAAAUAAAUCAAAUCUUUUAAAAAUAAGAAUGUUGGUGCAUAUUCCCAGAGAGAUAAAGAAUAGGGACAUUUC